rnacentral:miRNA from 3 species
GUGAGGACUGGGGAGGUGGAG